rnacentral:tmRNA from 1 species
GGGGGCGUAAUGGUUUCGACGGGGGCAAGUUGUCCUUGAGAAGCGAGUCGAAGGUUUCCUGGACCUGCGUUAAAAAACUGGGAACUAAAUAUAAUCGCAAACGAUAAUUUUGCAUUAGCUGCCUAAUAGUUGCAGCUCGUCAGCCUAAGAGUCCCACGACUUAGGGUCUGGCGUCGACAGUGGGGUACCGAGCCUUACAAAGCUUUGAGUAAGAAACGGAAUAAAUGAAGCUACUGAAUCUAAGAGCCUGUUUACCGGCGCUUAGAGGAGGGAAUGUAAAAAGGUAAACUGCACUCGGAGAUGCUCAAGGGUUACUGCUUUCGGACAGGGGUUCGAUUCCCCUCGCUUCCACCA